GAUGAACGCUGGCGGCGUGCCUAAUACAUGCAAGUCGAGCGAACAGAUAAGGAGCUUGCUCCUUUGACGUUAGCGGCGGACGGGUGAGUAACACGUGGGUAACCUACCUAUAAGACUGGAAUAACUCCGGGAAACCGGGGCUAAUGCAGGAUAACAUGUUGAACCGCAUGGUUCUACAGUGAAAGGCGGCUUUGCUGUCACUUAUAGAUGGACCCGCGCCGUAUUAGCUAGUUGGUGAGGUAACGGCUCACCAAGGCAACGAUACGUAGCCGACCUGAGAGGGUGAUCGGCCACACUGGGACUGAGACACGGUCCAGACUCCUACGGGAGGCAGCAGUAGGGAAUCUUCCGCAAUGGGCGAAAGCCUGACGGAGCAACGCCGCGUGAGUGAUGAAGGUCUUCGGAUCGUAAAACUCUGUUAUUAGGGAAGAACAAAUGCGUAAGUAACUGUGCGCGUCUUGACGGUACCUAAUCAGAAAGCCACGGCUAACUACGUG
rnacentral:rRNA from 1 species